ACCAGGGAAGCGAGAGACUUACACACACCACAAGCAUUGGAAAUUGAAGGAGUUGGUGUGCAGCUCGCAAGAAGGCAGAGUCUGUGUGGACGGGCCCAGGGGCUGCACAGCUCCAGUGCUCUCUCUGCUUCUAACGUGUGCUGAGCCCUGCUCUGCUGUGCGCUCCACUACGCUCUACGCUGCUAGCCUGUGUGACUGGCUGUCUGCGCUCAGCUGAGAGGGAAAGGGAGAGCAACUACUACUGCUACAGAUGUGAGGCUUUCCCCAGUGCUGGCUAUACUAUACCGCUCCUGAGAUCGUUCACAGCCUUGCGGAAGUUACCUGGGGCGCUGAUGUUUAGUCCGAGGACAGUGCAUGGCGACUCCUGUACCCCUGCCCUUUAGCAUUCAGCCUCCGUGCAGCGGUGUACGUCUCAUUUCCGUUGCUGCAUGUAGCUCUAAACGGCCAAGGAUAUGAGAAGAAAGAGAUAUGUUAUGUGAACCAUGUGUGACUACCGACGCAGAUGGAAUGAAGGGCAAAAAAUAGGGGAGCUCAAAGGAUGCUGUGCCCCUCCGCCUUUCCAUCACUCCAUUCCUCCAGCUCUCCAUCACUCCAUUCCUCCAUCUCUCCAUCACUCCUUACCUUCAGCUAUACAUCUCUCCAUCUCUCCUUACCUUCAGCUAUACAUCUCUCCAUUCCCCCAUCUCUCCAUUACUCCAUCACUCCUUACCUUCAGCUAUACAUCUCUCCAUCACUCCAUUCCCCCAUCUCUCCAUCUCUCCAUUACUCCAUCACUCCUUACCUUCAGCUAUGCAUCUCUUUCAGGCUGAAGCUGAAAUGCCUGUUACCUAGAUGCUAACUGGCGAUCUAUAAUUAUUAAUAAUUUGAUGGGUGCUUAUGUGUUGUUUUUGCAUAUCCCAACUCCCCCUGAGACACCUUUGGAGAACUGUUCUGAUCAUUGAGUCCUACUGCUUAAAUACAGAUAACUGUCAAAAUAAAUGAAAUGAGGGAUACAAAG